UUCCUAGUAACUCCUAUCUCUACCUCCAAGUGGCACCGGCCAGACUGCGAGCAACCUUAGAGAAGAUCGGGUAACCAACCCCGGUGGGAACUUUGGCCGUAGGUUGAUAGGGAAGG
rnacentral:ribozyme from 1 species